AUGUCAAUUGAUCUUUUGACGUACAUCCAACAGUCGUUAAGCUCUUCUCUUUCUACAUCAGAAAAAACGAGACAAGCACUGAAUCUUAGCUUCAAUAAUCUUCCUCGUUAUCUGAAGACAUGUUUGCUGUAUCUUAAUAUGUAUCCAGAGGGCCAGAUAUUCUUCAAGGAUGAUUUGGUGAAGCAAUGGGUAGCUGAAGGUUGUAUUGAUACAGCGGAAGGGCAAGACAUGGUGAAACUUGCAGAGAGCUAUCUUGAUCAACUUAUUGGCAGAAGACUCAUACUGCCUAUAUGUAUCAACUACAACAAUGAAGUGUUGUCCUGUACAGUUCAUGACAUGGUACAUGAUCUUAUUGCAUACAAGUCUGAAGAAGAAAAUUUCGUUUUGGUAAUAGACCACAGUCAAGCAAAUGUGUCACUUUCUCAUAAGGUCCGUCGACUAUCUCUCCUCUUUGGCGAUGCAAGAUAUGUCAAGAAACCAGCAAAUAUCAGAAAGUCACAAGUUCGGUCACUUAGAUUUUUUGGAUUAUCUGAGUGCAUGCCUUGCAUUAGAGAUUUCAAGCUUCUUCGUGUUCUGAAUCUCCAACUACCGGGUCAUGGUGGCGACGCUGAUGCCGACUCUUUUGAUCUCACUGGGAUCUCAGAACUGUUUCAACUGAGAUAUUUGAAGAUUGCAUGUGAUGUCUGCAUAGAGCUUCCAAACCAUGGGCUACCAUGUUUGGAAUUGCUAGAUAUUAUGGAUGCAAGAGUUGCUAGUGUUCCAUGUGAUAUCCAUCUACCACACUUGUUGCACCUCAGCCUUUCUGUCGAGAGAAAUCUGCUGGAUUGGUCUGUCAGUAAGGGGAGCCUUGGCAAGCUGAACUACCUGCAGGAUCUUCAUGUUAGCAUUGUUCCGUCUGCGCCUUCCUACGUUGUGGAGAGAAGCAUGGAAUCUCUAGGCUCUUUAAUCGGAGGACAUGGAAGCUUGAGAACUAUACAAGUGGUGGCUCAUGGCUCCUCGGUACAAAAUGCUCUGGUUCGUGGUGUGUCAAAAGUAACCAUUUCAUGGGAUGACUUGGCACCUCCCCCGUUUCUCCAGAGAUUUGAGUGUUCGCUGCAUAAGUGGCUUGGAAAACUUGGCAACCUAUGCAUUUUGAAGAUUUCAGUAAGGGAACUGAUGAUGGAUUGUAUUGAUAUUGUUAGAGGAUUGCCAGCCCUCGCCACUUUGUCGCUGUAUGUGCAGAAGGCGCCCAUUGAAAGGAUCAUCUUUGACAAAGCCGGGUUCUCAGUUCUGAGGCACUUCAAGUUGAGGUUCACGAGUGGUAUAGCUUGGCUAGUGUUUGAGGCAGAUGCAAUGCCUAAUCUCUGGAAGAUGAAGCUAGUCUUCAACGCCACCCCCCCAAUGGACCAACAUCCUUUUCUUUAUUCUUCGAAGCAAGGCGCCUUCGAACGACACCAACGUGGUACUGCAAUUAUCAGCGUCGAGCCUAUGCCAGAGCUUAGAGAGAUGUCGGUAAAAUUUGGGGGUGCAGCUGCUGAUCUAGAGUAUGCCAUGAGGACCUUCGUAAGGAACCAUCCGAGCAAUCCUACAAUCAUAGUGCAACUGGUGGAUCACAGUUCCUAUGGCGACGGAAUCACAAAACAGAGAACAUAG
rnacentral:rRNA from 1 species